UACGAAGGGGGCUAGCGUUGCUCGGAAUUACUGGGCGUAAAGCGCACGUAGGCGGCUUUCUAAGUCGGGGGUGAAAUCCUGGAGCUUAACUCCAGAACUGCCUUCGAUACUGGAAAGCUCGAGUCCGGGAGAGGUGAGUGGAACUGCGAGUGUAGAGGUGAAAUUCGUAGAUAUUAGCUAGAACACCAGUGGCGAAGGCGGCCAACUGGUCCGGAACUGACGCUGAGGUGCGAAAGCGUGGGGAGCAAACAGGA
rnacentral:rRNA from 1 species